UAACACAUGCAAGUCGAACGGCAGCAGCACUUAAGCUUGCUUAGGUGGCUGGCGAGUGGCGGACGGGUGAGUAACGCGUGGGAAUCUAGCCUCUAGAGGGGGAUAACUCGGGGAAACUCGGGCUAAUACCGCAUAAUCUCUAAGGAGGAAAGCGGGGGACCGAAAGGCCUCGCGCUGGAGGAUGAGCCUGCGUCCGAUUAGCUAGUUGGUGGGGUAAGGGCCUACCAAGGCGAUGAUCGGUAGCUGGUCUGAGAGGACGAUCAGCCACACUGGGACUGAGACACGGCCCAGACUCCUACGGGAGGCAGCAUUGGGGAAUAUUGGACAAUGGGGGCAACCCUGAUCCAGCAAUGCCGCGUGGGUGAAGAAGGCUUUCGGGUUGUAAAGCCCUUUCAGUAGGGAAGAAAAGCGAUGUGUGAAUAGCCCAUCGUGUUGACGUUACCUACAGAAGAAGCACCGGCUAACUCCGUGCCAGCAGCCGCGGUAAUACGGAGGGUGCGAGCGUUAAUCGGAAUUACUGGGCGUAAAGGGCGCGUAGGCGGUUUGGUAAGUUGGGUGUGAAAGCCCCGGGCUCAACCUGGGAAUGGCACUUGAUACUGCCUGGCUAGAGUAUGGUAGAGGGAGGCGGAAUUUCCGGUGUAGCGGUGAAAUGCGUAGAUAUCGGAAGGAACACCAGUGGCGAAGGCGGCCUCCUGGACCACUACUGACGCUGAGGUGCGAAAGCGAGGGGAGCAAACAGGAUUAGAUACCCUGGUAGUCCACGCCCUAAACGAUGAGAACUAGACGUUGGGAGGGAUAGCCUUUCAGUGUUGCAGCUAACGCGUUAAGUUCUCCGCCUGGGGAGUACGGCCGCAAGGUUGAAACUCAAAUGAAUUGACGGGGGCCCGCACAAGCGGUGGAGCAUGUGGUUUAAUUCGAUGCAACGCGAAGAACCUUACCUGGCCUUGACAUCCCCGGAACUUUGCUGAGAGGCGAAGGUGCCUUCGGGAGCCGGGAGACAGGUGCUGCAUGGCUGUCGUCAGCUCGUA
rnacentral:rRNA from 2 species